UAGGGAAUCUUCCACAAAUGGACGCAAGUCUGAUGGAGCAACGCCGCGUGAGUGAAGAAGGUCUUCGGAUCGUAAAACUCUGUUGUUAGAGAAGAACACGAGUGAGAGUAACUGUUCAUUCGAUGACGGUAUCUAACCAGCAAGUCACGGCUAACUACGUGCCAC
rnacentral:rRNA from 1 species